GGCGAAGUCGAAAGAUGGCGCC
rnacentral:misc_RNA from 1 species